rnacentral:tRNA from 1 species
GUUCCCAUCGUCUAGUGGUUAGGACAACGGCCUCUCACGUCGUUAACAGGGGUUCGAGUCCCCUUGGGAACGCCA